GACGAACGCUGGCGGCGUGCUUAACACAUGCAAGUCGAACGGAAAGGCCCUGCUUUUGUGGGGUGCUCGAGUGGCGAACGGGUGAGUAACACGUGAGUAACCUGCCCUUGACUUUGGGAUAACUUCAGGGAACUGGGGCUAAUACCGGAUAGGAGCUCCUGCUGCAUGGUGGGGGUUGGAAAGAUUCGGCGGUUGGGGAUGGACUCGCGGCUUAUCAGCUUGUUGGUGGGGUAGGGGCUUACCAAGGCUUUGACGGGUAGCCGGCCUGGGAGGGUGACCGGCGACAUGGGGACUGAGAUACGGCGCAGACGGCUACGGGAGGCAGCAGUGGAGAAUAUUGCAGAAUGGGGGGAAGUGUGAUGCAGCAGCGCCGCGUGCGGGAUGACGGCCUUCGGGGUGUAAACCGCUUUCGACUGUGACGAAGCGUGAGUGACGGUAAUGGGUAAAGAAGCACCGGCUAACUACGUG
rnacentral:rRNA from 1 species